CCAGGUAACGCCUGGGGGGGAAACCCACGACCAGUGCAACAGAGAGCAAACCGCCGAUGGCCCACGCAAGUGGGAUCAGGUAAGGGUGAAAGGGUGCGGUAAGAGCGCACCGCGCGGCUGGUAACAGUC
rnacentral:RNase_P_RNA from 1 species